AAAAUCUAUAAUGAAAAUGAAAAGAUAAUGCUUGCUAUUUUGCUGCCUGGAUUUUUUAGAUCUACUCUAAGUAUGUUCUUAUUUCUUGAUCCAGCAUUUUGUCUUCUCAUUAUUGGUUUGGAGGUUGUUGUUGUCGAUGGGCUUGGAGGCUGAUCUUGUGGUUGUCGUUGGGUUUGGAGGUUGUGGCUGUUCAUGGGUUGAAUGCUCUGUGAUGUUGUCGAUGGGUUUGGAGGCUGAGCUUGUUGUUUUCGAUGGGUUUGGAGACUGGUUGUUGAUGGGUUGAAUGCUAUGUGAUUGUUGAAUGCUCUUUGAUUAUUGUUGUUGAUGGGCUUGAAUGCUCUCUGAUUAUUGUUGAUGAUGAGUUUCAUUACUCUGUGAUUGUAUGUGUAACUGAUCUGUGUUGAUUAUGUUAUUGGGACAAUGGGCCUGAUAUGUGGCUUGGCUAUGUGAUUGUUGAAUGAGUAUCUCCUUACUAUGAUGAUACCUUAUCUGAUGCUUGUAUGUGUAAGUGCUCUGUGAUGUUUAUGUGAUUGGGAUACCCUUAUAAGCCACCCCUUGAAUAGGUUAGGAGGCUUAUCUAUGAUUGAGGCAGCCUUAUACCACCAGCCACCCCUUCAAUAUGUUAGGAGACUACCAAAUGAUGAAACAUUAUCUGAGGGAUUAGGAAUUAAACCUUACAAAAGUAGACUAAAUUCAUUUCACAUUAUAAGCCACCCCUUUAAUAGGUUAGGAGGCUUAUUUGAGAAUGAAAGAGCUUUACAAGCCACCCCUUAAACAGGAUAGGAGGCUACCCAAUGAUGACAAAAUAUUUGAGGGAUUAGGAUUUUAUAAGUCACCCCUUACAUAGGUUUGGAGGCUUUACAAAAAUAGACAAAAAAAUCAGUUCACAUUUUAAGCCACACCUAAUUUUGAGGCUUAUAAAGCCAACUGACAAAAAAGCUUUGCUCUUUGAUCUACUAGAAUCCUAGAGCUUCACUGAUACGUGAAAUGUCAUAAGCUUCACCAAUGUUGUUUUCGGGAAGUUGGAGGUAUUCCAGAGCUUCCUUAACAAGCUCUUCCUCGACCUCUAAAGUGAUUGGCAGCGAGUCCAACCUGGAUAACCUAGCCUUCUUCAUAUGUGGAAGUUUGUAUCCAUUCCCUCCAUGCACUUUCAUUAUCUCUGAUAAGCAACCUUGAAGUGAUAGGAAAACAUUGUUGAGGGUGUGUGGGCUAAGUUCUUCAAAGGAACUGUACACAUUGUUCACCAAGUCAUCCACCCCUUUAGCAAUUUUAUCAUCCUGCAGAGAUUGGAUUGCUGUGAAAAAACCCAAAUCCAAGACAUUAGUGUCUGGAAAAUUAGGAGGUUGGCAAAUGAUUUGGAAUUUGAAUCCAUCUAUGUUUGCAAUUGCCUGAAACUCUGAAUCAGUGGGGCUGAUAUGUGGCUUGGCAUUGUCUUGUUGAAUGAGUAUCUCCUUGCAUACAUUCGGUGGCCAUUUAGACUUGAUAGCUGGUAUAAUCUGUUCAAAAAUUCUGUAUGUGAUGAUAUUGUACAUGUCUGAUAGAAAAUCUAUAAAAAAAAUCAGUGUACCUUUUGGAUUAUGCAAUCUCUCGUGAUCGCCUUGUUGACUGAUUGGAUUGGCUUGGUCUCCAUGGUACCUUUUGCUCUGUUCUUUGAAUUCCUCUUUGCUGGUUCCAUAGUUGUGAAAGGAAAUAUGCCUAUUUUUCCAUCAAAAAUGGUUUCUCCAUCUUGUGCAAAGUGUGGUCUACACACAGCACACAUGAACAUAACCUUUGUGAUGAAUCUCUUUGACUUACAUGAUCUAUAUGGCUCAUCCUCAUCUGGCAGCAGGUAGUAUCUAUCUGAACUCUUAGUCAUGUAAAACCAUUUCUCAUCAAUAUGCACUACAUUGUGCAUUGUGUUGUAUUUGAGCUUACCAUCGAUUCUGAUUGGUUGAAUCUGGCUGAGACUCCAUCUGAGCCGUGCUAACUUGUUCAAAUCAGUACUCCACGCUCCAUCUGCUCUUUUGCUUCUGCCCAGAUUCUGUGAACUGUCUUUUUGCAUACUCCAAACUGUUGGGCAGCUUUUAUAAGAGCUUCAUGUCGUAGAUGACCUGAAUAGCUUUGUUGGAGAAGACUUUGAGCUAUCAAAUUUUUGGUGUCCACUCCUAUAGUGCGUGUAUCUCUCUGAGUUGUCUCCAUAACCCAAUGAUGAAUUUUUUCUGAGGGCAAGUGUUUAAAAGUUCUCUUUUUGGAUGUAUUGAUGCUUUUAUAGAUAGUGGCAGCUCCAAUCUCCCUCCAAUAUUUUCUGUACUUUUGCCUUUUGAAUUUUUGGACAUACCACCAAAAUUUCAGUACGUGUACUUGUGGUUUUGGGGAUUUCCCACCAAAAAAUCCCAAUUGUAAUGGUUUUGGGAUUUCCCACCAAAAAAUCCCAAUUGUAAUGAAAUUGGCAGAUUAUUUUUAUGGAUAAA